rnacentral:rRNA from 1 species
AUACGUAGGUGGCAAGCGUUGUCCGGAAUUAUUGGGCGUAAAGCGCGCGCAGGCGGUCCUUUAAGUCUGAUGUGAAAGCCCACGGCUCAACCGUGGAGGGUCAUUGGAAACUGGGGGACUUGAGUGCAGAAGAGGAAAGUGGAAUUCCAAGUGUAGCGGUGAAAUGCGUAGAGAUUUGGAGGAACACCAGUGGCGAAGGCGACUUUCUGGUCUGUAACUGACGCUGAGGCACGAAAGCGUGGGGAGCAAACAGGAUUAGAUCCCCUGGUAGUCCACGCCGUAAACGAUGAGUGCUAAGUGUUAGGGGGUUUCCGCCCCUUAGUGCUGCAGCUAACGCAUUAAGCACUCCGCCUGGGGAGUACGGUCGCAAGACUGAAACUCAAAGGAAUUGGCGGGG